CCUGUAGGGGUAAAUUCAGUAAAUAAAUAUACGUCAUCAGGGACCGCCCAUUUAGGGGAGAGCUUUCUGUAUAACACUGAAGUCAUAUGCUCUUCUGAUUGGUAGAUAAUGUUUGUAAUAAAUAUUUUUUGGCAGAUGGAUCAAAACUAGAGUUGAAAAAAAAAUAAAAAAUAAAUGCUGAAUGUACUAAUUUUUUUUACUACAGGGUUGAAAAGUAAUGGGGGUCAGUAUAGGAAUUCAGUGCGAAUCUUCAUUGUUUGUAAACAAGGCCAUGUGAAUGCCCCAAAAAUGCCGCAUGACCCUAUGUUUUUUAUUAAUGCAAAAGAUAGGGCUACAUUUGUACUUUCAUGAAUGUUAUAUGAAAGUUUCCAAUUUCUAAAGGUAAAUCAGGUAUAAAUUUAAUUCCAUACAUAGAUUAGCCAUUAAAGUCAAUGGGAGAUUUUUUACUGAAUUUACCCCUAUAGGAAAAUAUGCACUCUUUCACUGUACUUGUCCAAGGCCACACAAUAAUC
rnacentral:lncRNA from 1 species